rnacentral:rRNA from 1 species
UACAGAGGGUGCGAGCGUUAAUCGGAAUUACUGGGCGUAAAGCGUGCGCAGAUGGCCAUGUAAGUCGGGUGUGAAAGCCCCGGGCUCAACCUGGGAAUUGCAUUCGAGACUGCAUGGCUAGGGUGCGGAAGAGGGAAGCGGAAUUUCCGGUGUAGCGGUGAAAUGCGUAGAUAUCGGAAGGAACACCAGUGGCGAAAGCGGCUUCCUGGUCCAGCACCGACAUUCAGGCACGAAAGCGUGGGGAGCAAACAGG